AGCAAAUAAGAGUGAUGCUUGAUCUACCAAGGUAGUCCUCUCGGCCGUCAUUUUCGAAGUAAGAAAUGAUUGAUAAUAGGCGUGCUCGGUAUCUACAUAUAUUUUGGGGGUCUCAGAAAUGCGAAAUAAACUACUUGCAAAGUUAGAUCCUAAGUGCUAAGGAAAGUUAACGCUAUAGAUCUACCUAGCCUACUAAGUCAUAAAGAAUGCCCUACUCCACUCUACCAACUAGACUAGCCAAAUUUGGUCCUUGCCG
rnacentral:lncRNA from 1 species